rnacentral:lncRNA from 1 species
AACUGGGUUUGACAGUCCGACUCUUUGUCAAUCUGACGCAGUGAACGCCUCACCCGAGCUGACAGUUCGAUGCCACAGUACUUGCACUUUUCUAUCAUCGAUGUUCCCGGGGCGUUGUUCAGCCUGUGGAUGGUGGAUGCAGCUCUCCCAGUCAUCGUUCGUGAAUAGUUCACAUUCUUAGCUCUGUGAUUCUGUGUGUACCCAGGAACAUGGAUCGGUGCCACCAGUUGUUCGUUAUUCC